GGUCUCAUGGUCCAUGCUUCUACCCUCUUGCCUCACAUUACACUUUGCCCAACAACCAGCUUCCUUUGGAUUAACACCAUAAUGGGGCUGUCUACCCAGCUUUCCAUUUAGCUCUGUCCCUGGACACUGUCUCUCAGGGCCCAGGCUUGCUCUUGUUCAAGAGACAAGCCUGGACAGUGAUCACAUUAUUUACUGCACCAAAAGCUCCAUCAGUUCCCGUUGCUUGUUGAAUAAACAGAUUUUUUUUCAGCAUGCCAUCCAUGGCCUGCCAACUGUCUGAUCCCAUCCCCCAACUACCAGCCCCACCAAUACAUCCUUAUAAUCUUGACAUUUUUUUCUCAUUUUUUCAAGAACUGACUUGAACACUUCCUUGAAGACUUCCUCUUUCUGUUCUUCCAUGUAUUGCCUUCUACCUCUGUAGCUUUUUGUGCACCUGGUGGCCUCCCACACCUAUGAAGUAUACUCCCUAAAGGCAGGCUUUGUGACUUAAGUCAUCCUUUUACCCCCACUGCUGCUGAGAAUAAUGCCGUGGGGAAUACCUUAAACACGGUAAGAUCACAUCAUUCACCCUGCUCAGAACUUCCUAGCGUCCCAGUGGCUUCCCAUGAUAAAAACUCCACACAGGCCUACAUGGUCUUGUACGACCUGAGUUUCUGCUACCACUCUCCUCUUGCUCCUUGCUGUUCCUGGAAGACAUCGGACAAAGAUCUCACAUUAGGGGUUUUGCAUUUGCUGUUCCUUUUACUGGGAUACCCUUUCCCCAGCUACCCGCAUGGCUUGCUUUCUCAAGCCUUCUGAGCUUCUCCAAGGCCAAUUUCUCAAUGAGGCAUUUCUCUGCCACUCUGUUCGCACAGGGACUUCAAAAAAACCCUUUGUUUUCCUUUCCUCUGCUUAGGGUUUCUCCAUAGCAUGUAUCACUUCCUUACAUAGUAUGUAUUUUAGUCAUGUAUUUUGGGGUUUAUUUUCUGUCUCCCCUCCCCCUACUUAGAAGUAAGCUUCAUCCUAGUCUAAAUCUGUUUGUUUACUUCUCUAUCCCCAGAGCCUAGGAUAAGGCCUGGCAUAUCCAAGGCAGUCUGUAACUAUUUGUUGAAAGAAAAAAAGAAUAAGCAAAUUAAUGGAAGGGGCCUAAUAAAUAUUUGUUAAGUUGAAUGAAAAUGUCAGAAACAGAUGACCGUGAAGUCUUCAAACUGUAAAAGUGUGUGGGUUUAGGAGGAUAGUGAAAUUGAGUGAAAGCUGCCUUAUUAUCAACAUCGUCCAGGAAGGAUUAAAAGCUCGUACUUGUGGUGGGAGGGGCAACUGGGCCAGGAAACUCGGACUUUCGCAGAAACAUUCGGGGCUGCCCAAGUACCCACCCCCCAUCCUCGCCCCUAGGACUGCAUCUGGGAGGCGAGCUGGCCCUACCACCCCGUUUGGACCCUUGUCUACUACGCAGCCGCCCACUUUCCGCAAGGAGGAUGGCGCUCGCUCGGAUCUCCGCGUUCCCUCUUCCCUUGGGGACUCCAUAGUAUUUUUUUCACGCUUCGUCGCUACUACUCAUUAUUUGCCUUACCGAUCUCCGGUGCCUUGCCUGUAACCAAAACGCGUUCAGAUCGCAGCAAGGUCGAUUUAAGCACAGCCUUUCUUAAGGUGGCGUGACUGUGACUCAUUUACUUUUCCAGAGUAACAAAGCCACAAAAUGGUGCUCCCACAUAUUAAUUGAAGAAAGAUUCAGGGUGUGUAGGGGAGAGAUAUUAAUUUUCUACUUUUAUGUAAGAUAUUAAUUCCAUGAAUAAAAUCAAACUCUUGUGGUA